ensembl:scaRNA
UUGUCCUGCCCUAUGCUUUUUCUGCUCCCCUGUACUCAGUUCUAAGAGGGGAGUCCAGCAGGACACAUGGUAACCUCCCUGAUCUCAGUUUAGGAUGCCAUUCUAAGAACAGGGCUGAGAGGAUCAU